rfam:Fusobacterium mortiferum ATCC 9817 genomic scaffold supercont2.8, whole genome shotgun sequence.
CGGAAUAUAGCGCAGUCCGGUAGCGCAUCUGCCUUGGGAGCAGGGGGCCGCAAGUUCGAAUCUUGCUAUUCCGA